AACGCACAUUGCGCCCGCCAGUACUCUGGCGGGCAUGCCUGUUCGAGCGUCAUUUCAACCCUCAAGCCCAGCUUGGUGUUGGGGUCCCACGGCCGCCGUGGGCCCCGAAAUGAAGUGGCGGGCUCGCCGUAGCUCCGAGCGUAGUAGAACUCUAUCUCGCUAGGGAGGCGCGGCGCGCACCUGCCGUUAAAGACAAGCACUUUAACCAAGGUUGACCUCGGAUCAGGUAGGAAUACCCGCUGAACUUAA
rnacentral:misc_RNA from 1 species